rnacentral:rRNA from 1 species
CCUACGGGUGGCAGCAGUGAGGAAUAUUGGUCAAUGGCCGUAAGGCUGAACCAGCUAAGUAGCGUGUGGGAAGACUGCCCUAUGGGUUGUAAACCUCUUUUAUGCGGGGAUAAAGGUGUCUUCGUGUGGAUGUUUGUAGUUCCCGCAUUAUUAAGGUCCGGCUAAUUACGUGCCAUCAGCCGCGGUAAUAUGGAAGGUCCGGUCGUUAUCCGGAUUUAUUUGGUUUAAAGUGAGCGUAGAUGGGUUAGUAAGUCAGUUGGGAAAGUUUGUGGCUCAACCGUACAAUUGCAAUUGAUACUGGCAGUCUUGAGUACAGUUGAGGUAGGCGGAAGUCGAGGUGUAGCAGUGAAAUGCUUAGAUAUCACGAAGAACCCCGAUGGCGAAGGCAGCUUACUAGGCUGUGACUGACAUUGAUGCUCGAAAGUGUGGGUAUCAAACAGGAUUAGAUACCCCAGUAGUC